AAAUAUACUCACUCUUCAGUCCAUCAAUUAAGUGGAUUACUUGUGGUGUUUUCUCAUUCUGAUGGCACCCAUUCACUGCACAAGGUACACUGGAAAUUUCUCCAAAUUUGUUCUGAUGAAGAAACAAAUUCAUCUACAACUUGGAUGGUCUGAGGCUAUUUGGGUUCUGAUUCUGACGGCACCCAUUCAAUGCAGAGGAUCCACUGGUGAGCAAGUGAUGUAAUACUAAAUUCCUCCAAAUCUGAUCCAGUGAAGAAACAAAUUCAUCUACAUCUCAGAUGGCCUGAGGUUGAGUAUUUUCAGCAAAUGUUUAUUUUUGGGUAAACUAUUUCUUUAACAGUAUCAAUUUAGUUUCUAUGCUUUGCAUUAGCAUAAAAAAAGAUCCAGCAUCACAGAUGCCCCGGAGGUGCACUGCUUUGUCACCGUCAUGACGAACUAAACACCAGGGAGCAGCUGUUUGUGCCCCAGAGGUCACCUUGAUCUAGAGAUCGGUAGGAGGCUGGUGGACGUCAACAUCCCACCACAUGAAAAAGCCUAUUGAUUGAAGAAGCUACCUCUGAUGCCUCUAUGACUCAUCUAUAGGAAAGGAGCGAUAGGAGCCGCGGCAGAUCAAAGGGAAUAAAAACACUGCAUUAAACAUGGAGUUUUUCCUGUUAAUUCCGGUCUUCCAUUGCACCACUAAAGCUGAGAGCAUUACUGUGAUUCUCAUGUGAAAGUUUGUUUAGUUAUCACAUCAAAGCAUCUGAAAUGAUUGUCACAUGGGAUGCACAUUAGCCUAUCAUCUUGCUGACACAGCCUACUGCUCUGGAACCACUGAGGAAAUUAGCUUGUUUAUGACUUACAUUUACAUUGUUUAGUCCAUGUGGCCUGCACAUUUCCUCCAAACGGCUGCAUUUGCCCUUCCGGAUGGAGUACAUGAUCUUUUUCCGAGGUCAUGCAGUUGUAUUCUUGAAUAUGGUGUGAGUGUUGUAAGUCUGUAACCUUACAUUUCCCUGUAACAGGUUCCCAGACUCCAGCGGGAGCAGCACAGAAUAAUAUGUGGUUUCAGGGUGAAGACUGUUCGCCUCUCUCCUUGUCAGCUAUAGCCAUCGCUGCUUUGGUAAGACACAUUUUAUACAGAGGUAAUGAAAGUUUAUAGAAAACAGGUGGACAUUAAAUAAGUUCCACAGUGUCAGUCUCAGCUGUGUCCCAUUGUGUGUGAGCUAAAACAUCCAAGAAAUCUGAACACAUGAGCUCCUAGUAAAAUGUUUCUCCACUGAUUUACAUUAGUUAUGGUGUCUGUAUCCCUUACUGCAAGUAUACCAGAGUUUUGGAUGUUUAUUUGGGUACCAGUCUCUACAUAGUGGACUGACCAGUUUUUUUUUUACAACCCCAAUUUCAGAGAAGUUGGGACAUUUUGUAAAAUGCAAUAAAUUCAAGAAUCUGUGAUUUGUUAAUUCUCUUUAACAUUUAUUUACAUUUACAUUUAGUCAUUUAGCAGAUGCUUUUAUCCAAAGCAACUUACAAAUGAGGACAAUGGAAGCAAUCAAAAUCAACAAAAGAGCAAUGAUAUAUAAGUGCUUUAACAAGUCUCAGUUAGCUUAACGCAGUACACAUAGCAAGGGCUUUUUAAAUAAUAUAAUAAAUAAAAAGAACAGAUAGAAUAUAAAAAGAAUAGAGCAAGCUAGUGUUAGUGUUAUUUAAUUGACAAAAGUACAAAGAAAAGAUUUACAAAGUUUUCACUGACCAAUGUAAAUGUAUUCUGUAAAUAUGAAUAAAUUUUGUUUUUGCGGGCUGCAACACAUUCAAAAUAAAGGCAAAAUAAAAGUGAAAAGUUUAUAGAAUAUCCACGUUAAACUUUUUUGAAACAGUUAAAAGUAAGCAGGUGAACUGGUAAUGGGUCAAGGUAUCAUGUUUGGAUAUAAAAGGAGCAUCUCAGGCCCCUUUUACACUAGUGCGUUUUCAUUUUAAAAUGGCGUUUUAGAAUGAAAACGAUCCUCGUCUACACUGGUGUUUCCGCUGCGUUUCAGAAACGAUCUCUGUUUACACUACACAACCUAAAACGCAUGUCACAUGACCAUUCAUGCAGGUACAGCCAUAGAUAUGAAUAGGUAGAUUCCCUAUUAUU
rnacentral:lncRNA from 1 species